CGACCCUGUGCGGGAGAGUUCCCCGGCUGACGGCCGGGGGCGCCGAAGGAGCAAAUCCUCCCCGGAAUCUCUCAGGCCCCCAGUACCGCACGGGUGAG
rnacentral:ncRNA from 1 species